UCGACUUUAGCUCACUUGAUAGAGCGGAGGACUGUAGAUUCUUAGGUCGUUGGUUCGAAUCCGACAAGUUGGA
rnacentral:tRNA from 1 species